rnacentral:rRNA from 1 species
CCCUUAGAUGUUCUGGGCUGCACGCGCGCUACACUGACACACCCAGCGAGUCUCCUGCCCUGACAGGGUUGGGUAAUCAUUGGAGUGUGUGUCGUGAUGGGGAUAGAGUAUUGCAAUUAUUGCUCUCGAACGAGGAAUUCCUAGUAAGCACAAGUCAGCAGCUUGUGCUGAUUACGUCCCUGCCCUUUGUACACACCGCCCGUCGCUCCUACCGAGGGGGCGAUCCGGUGAAUGAUUCGGACUUUGGCGUUUCUAGCUGCUAGCAGCGCUGAAGAAAGUUUUGUGAACCUUAUCACUUGGAGGAAGGAGAAGUCGUAACA